AGUGAACGCUGGCGGUAGGCCUAACACAUGCAAGUCGAACGGCAGCACAGUAAGAGCUUGCUCUUACGGGUGGCGAGUGGCGGACGGGUGAGGAAUACAUCGGAAUCUACUUUUUCGUGGGGGAUAACGUAGGGAAACUUACGCUAAUACCGCAUACGACCUACGGGUGAAAGCAGGGGAUCUUCGGACCUUGCGCGAUUGAAUGAGCCGAUGUCGGAUUAGCUAGUUGGCGGGUUAAAGGCCCACCAAGGCGACGAUCCGUAGCUGGUAUGAGAGGAUGAUCAGCCACACUGGAACUGAGACACGGUCCAGACUCCUACGGGAGGCAGCAGUGGGGAAUAUUGGACAAUGGGCGCAAGCCUGAUCCAGCCAUACCGCGUGGGUGAAGAAGGCCUUCGGGUUGUAAAGCCCUUUUGUUGGGAAAGAAAAGCAGCAGGUUAAUACCCCGCUGUUCUGACGGUACCCAAAGAAUAAGCACCGGCUAACUUCGUG
rnacentral:rRNA from 1 species